UGGCCUACACACAUACAACAUGCCCAAGGAUAUAAUAAGGAAAAAAAAAUCAUACCUCUUAUAUACACUAUCAUCAAUGCACCAUGAGCCUAUAUUUUUUGCAAUCUUUCUCAAUCUUCAUCAAACACAAACCUUCAAUACCAAUCUGUACCUGAAAUCNNNNNNNNNNNNNNNNNNNNNNNNNAGAGUUGGAUUAUAAUAUAAGAUAAAAUUGAAACACCCAACUAGUAAUAAUGUACAACAAGUGUAAAUAGUAAUGGAAAAAAAAGAACACAAAACUAAAAAAAAAUAUAAUUUUAGCAUAUGAGAUAGAAGAAACCACACAGUAGAUUAAUCUUCAUUGAGUUUUAGAAAAAUUAAGCCUGCUACUGAUAGCAUUGCAAACAGCUACAAGACACUUUGGCAUUUCAUCAAACAGUUGGAGGACAGUUAAAAGCAUUGUAAAUGAAUACCUAUCAGGGCAUUGGAUUGUUGUGAUACUAAGGGUGAUGGUCACAAUAUCACUAACAGCUAAAUUGAAAAUGGCAGAUAAUGGAAGAAAAGCACAAGAAUUACUCACAUAAGUGGUAACCUUAAAAUUGUGAAUCAAGUGGAAAUUUACCUGUAGCAACACACUACUAG
rnacentral:lncRNA from 1 species